CACCAAUAAUUGAAAUGAUUUUGAAACCCAGGAAACAAUAAUAAUGGAAGCCAAUUUAAAUUGAAUGAUGAAUCUUCAAAGACAGUGAUCUAUAAGAUGCUGUAAUGCGUGGCUAUCAUAUCUGCAAGGCCAUUACAGAGUAUUGAGUAGAGUUCCCUGUGCUAUACAGUUUUAAAUUCAAGUCCCCCUGAGCAAAGUUGUGAAAAGGAUUUUGUUUUCUUUUGCCUUGCCAAAUCAGCCUCUUUCAACAGAGAAACACUGUAAUCUGGUCCCUGAAUAAGAUGUGCUAGUCAGCGGUGAACCUUCCAGUCUAGUCCAUACAUUAUAGAUAGACUCGUGACAGAACUAAGGGAGAAUGGGACAUCACACAGUCACACAUGACUUGUUGCUGGCACCAAAAAUUGUGAAUUUUACUCCUCUUGGGAAGAGGGCCCAGGCACACAACCUACGCUCACCAGUUAACAGACCCACAGGACCUUUUAAACCAAGACUAAUAAUGCAAAGAAAGAAGCGGAGACUGAGAGGAACUCUUUCAGGCCUCUCACUGCUGUGGCCUCUCCCGUUGC